CUGAAGACAGAGCAAAGAUCAAGGUUGGGACAGGUUUCAACUGUCCUGUCAUUCUGCUGUCCUUGAGGGAGAAGAGACGACAGACAAAUAAGCAAAUAAAUAUUACACAACAGGAUUGCAGAUAAUAAUAAGGCUAGAAAAGAAUGUUGAGGUGGUAGGUAGUAGAGGAGGGCUGCUGUGGCACGUCACAGUAGGUCAUCAGGUGCCAUCUCCAAAGAGGUGACCUUUGGGUGAACCUGAGGAUGAGAAGAAUGAGGUUGUAUAAAGAACUAAGGGGACAGUUUUCCCACAGAGAGGGAAAUGCAAAAGCUCCAGACUGGACAGAGCACAGCCUGCUAAAGGGACAGACAAGGAGACCACUGUGGUGAGGCUGGGGAGUGAUGAGGCCAAGGGCUGGCUGGGAGGCGGCCAACUGUGUUGGUGAGGGGACAGGCAUGGCUCUUGGGUUCCAGUCUCUCUUCUUCUGAUCACAGCACUCCGAGUUUUCAUCAGAGCUUCUCCUCUGCAUUCUGUGUGGCCUGGGUAUGACUGCAGAACAGUACCCUCUCUGAGGUCUGGCCAGUGAGAAUUCUGCCUUUCUCCAUGCCCGGGUUGGGUGGGUGGGUGAACGGAUGACCCAAGCUGGGCCAACAAGGUGAACAAUGACAACAAAAGAGCACCAGGCCUAAAACUAGAAGGGUGCCUCAAAAAAUUAAUGCAGGAUAUAAUUAAAAUAUUUUGAACUAAACUUUUGGAAUAAAAAUUUUGAAAUGCAUGCAUAGUUUUUCCAUCAUAUGUAUUCUCCACAAAAUUUUGGAAUAAUCCUUGUAUUGCUAGAACUGUUAGAGACUUGUAUUUUCUGCUGAGAUUGCUGACAGCUCUCUGAACACUGCAUAGGGACGUCUGCGUGAGAAUGAAGCCAACAUAUGCGACAGAACAAAGAGGUGGAACAAGACCACUGGGCUCAGGGCAUAUGUAUCUGUACCUGAAGGACCUGAGCUUCCUCAUUGAUAAAAGAGGAGGUUGGAUUAGACAUCUCGGAGUGUGCAUCAGCAUGGGGAGUCUUCAGGACGGAAUGCAGCCAGCCCCAUCUUCAAGGAUUGGUAUUGAUAAUAGAUUUCAAUCCAGGAGGAACAGGAUGGCAAUAAAGACAGAAACACAUAGACCAAGUGAUAUUUCUUUUUUUUACACCUGGUUCAAAGAUUUUAUUUUUUUAAUUUUUAUUUUUUAAAUUUUUAUUCAAUAAAUAUAAAUUUCCAAAGUACA
rnacentral:lncRNA from 1 species